rnacentral:rRNA from 1 species
AGGGAUUGCCUUAGUAGCGGCGAGUGAAGCGGCAAAAGCUCAAAUUUGAAAUCUGGCUCUUUCAGAGUCCGAGUUGUAAUUUGAAGAAGGUAUCUUUGGGUCUGGCUCUUGUCUAUGUUUCUUGGAACAGAACGUCACAGAGGGUGAGAAUCCCGUGCGAUGAGAUGAUCCAGGCCUAUGUAAAGUUCCUUCGAAGAGUCGAGUUGUUUGGGAAUGCAGCUCUAAGUGGGUGGUAAAUUCCAUCUAAAGCUAAAUAUUGGCGAGAGACCGAUAGCGAACAAGUACAGUGAUGGAAAGAUGAAAAGAACUUUGAAAAGAGAGUGAAAAAGUACGUGAAAUUGUUGAAAGGGAAGGGCUUGAGAUCAGACUUGGUAUUUUGUAUGUUACUUCUUCGGGGGUGGCCUCUACAGUUUAUCGGGCCAGCAUCAGUUUGGGCGGUAGGAGAAUUGCGUUGGAAUGUGGCACGGCUUCGGUUGUGUGUUAUAGCCUUCGUCGAUACUGCCAGCCUAGACUGAGGACUGCGGUUUAUACCUAGGAUGUUGGCAUAAUGAUCUUAAGUCGCCCGUCUUGAAACACGGACCAAGGAGUCUAACGUCUAUGCGAGUGUUUGGGUGUAAAACCCGUACGCGUAAUGAAAGUGAACGUAGGUGGGGGCCCGUAUGGGUGCACCAUCGACCGAUCCUGAUGUCUUCGGAUGGAUUUGAGUAAGAGCAUAGCUGUUGGGACCCGAAAGAUGGUGAACUAUGCCUGAAUAGGGUGAAGCCAGAGGAAACUCUGGUGGAGGCUCGUAGCGGUUCUGACGUGCAAAUCGAUCGUCGAAUUUGGGUAUA